AACGAACGCUGGCGGCGCGCCUAAUACAUGCAAGUCGAACGAGAAGCUGUAGCAAUACAGUUGUACAGUGGCGAACGGGUGAGGAAUACAUGGGUGACCUACCCUCGAGUGGGGAAUAACCAGCCGAAAGGUUGGCUAAUACCGCGUACGCUUCCCAGUCUACGGGUUGGGAAGGAAAGCGAUGCCGUGGGUAUCGCGCUCAAGGUUGGGCUCAUGUCCUAUCAGCUUGNGGUGGGGUAACGGCUCACCAAGGCAACGACGGGUAGCUGGUCUGAGAGGACGAUCAGCCACACUGGCACUGCGACACGGGCCAGACUCCUACGGGAGGCAGCAGUAAGGAAUAUUGCGCAAUGGGCG
rnacentral:rRNA from 1 species